UGGCUCAGUGGUAAAGCGCUUGCCUUGCAUGCAUGAGGUUCUGGGUUCAAUUCCCCAG
rnacentral:tRNA from 1 species